UUUAAUUUUUUUGUAAUUUUUGUUGAGAGAGACCAAAUUGCUUAUUUUCAAAAUUGACAGGGGCCAAAGGAGUAUUUAUACCAACUUGUUAUUCGAAUUGUAAAAUUCAACUCGACUCGAACUUGAAACUCAAAUUAUUUAUUCAAGUUGACUCAAAAAAAUCGAAUAACUCAAUUUGAUUAACUCGGAAUUCAAUUUUUUUUUUCGAUUUUUCAAAUGGGAUCGAGUUUUGCUCACCCUAAUUAGGUACAUAUUAAUUUUCCUGUAUGCCCCAUCUCAAAGAAGAAUUAUAGAAACAACAUAUGAAAGCUUAAAAAUCCUGAUAUCUAGAAUGCAUAUAUAUUUAAUUUUGUUCAGGCCGAGUGGUAUUUUAAAUAAAAUUCUUUGAAUAAUGUCAUCAGAAUAAUCCAAAUAUCUGAUAAACAAGUUCACUUGCGAUUUCCAAGUAAAAAUUAUUAUUAUUCUUAUUAUUUAAGUAUUACUAUAUUUUUGUUUAUUUUAAAUCUUAAAUCGAUUGAUUAUUAGAAUCAUGAUGCAAAUAAGUUUUCCAUCAUCUCGAACCAUGAUCUUCCAUUAAUGUCAUGGCUUCCGUUCUGUAGUUUGUCUACUUUAGUGGUGCCAUUGAGACCAUAACAAUAAACCCCCCAACUCACCAAAAUAAGUGCAUAACUACACAAGCAAAAUCAAAGGCAUGGAAAUGGGAAAUUCUGAAAAUGAUUUGAGAUCAUUUCAGAACAUCUCUUUAUUUAAGUUUUUAGAAUUUUUAGGCCACAUACGGAUACUACAUUAAUGGUCACUGACAAGGCGCUUGAUAAACUCCACAACAACAUUAACCGAAUUGUUUGAAGCAAGGGAAAUGAAAGUAUCGAUCUCAUUCGAUUCAGCCGAGCCACCACCGGCCAAGUCGGAGAGAGCCCUAAUGAUGAUAAAAGGAACCCUUUGUUGCAUACAUAUCAGUGCCACUGCUGCACUCUCCAUGUCGACCGGGCUUACGUUGAACUUUUUGUAAAUGAAGCUUCGAUAAGCAGCGUUGUCUACGUAAAUGCCUGCGCUUGUUCCUCGGUGGACUUGGACUACUCUCGGUGUCUCGUCCAAACAUGUCGUUGCGUUUACGCAGUUCUCUAGUUCCAUGUCCUGUUCACACACACAUAUAUGAACUUUAAUUUGUGUUUUUGAUUGCGUUGUGUUUAUCAAUGUAUCGAAUGCUCAUACCUCAAGAGAUUUAGAAAUAUUGAAAUAAAGAGGAUCGACAGGGAUCCAAAAGGCGUGUUGUCGUUGCUCGGGAGUACCGUCAACGGGGAAGACUUCCUCCGGUUGGAACCAAACAUUGUUCAAUAGGUUGUCGUGUGAGUUACAGGCAGUCACGUUUUCGGCAUAAUCUGCAAAUUUUAUGUAGCCGAUGUUUCUUGUAUAGUCUCCAUUUGGUUCAAGGGGGAGCUCGUCAGAGGGUCCAUAUCCAUAUCUCUGCACUAUGUUACAUAUCUUAAACCGUGUAUACGUUUUUAUGUAUAUUUAAAAUUAUGUUGAAAUAUAUCUUCGAAUUCAAAUGUAGCGGUAGAGAAGAGAAUAAAAAUUGAUUAUUAAAAAAAUUAGAUUAAAAUUUAAGGUUUCUAAAACUGAACUAGUGGUUGAACCAGUCACAUUAUUGAUUUUCAAUUUGAUUGGUUUGAAUGAUUGAUCCAAUUUGAUUAAAUAAUUUAUUAAAAAUAUUUAAAAUAAAAAUAUUAGAAAAUAAAGAAAACCAGUUCAAUCAAUUUUUUUUUAAUUCAAUUCAACUGAUUCAUAAUGUUACCAAUUUUCUUCGAAUAGAUUUUCUUUAAAUUAAAAGAACAAAAUGUGAUAGAAUCCAAAAAGAGUCUAAGUCCGAUAGAUUUGAAUUUAGUCAAUAUUUUUUUAAAAAAUUGUUAUAAUAUGAAACAAUUAGGCUUAAUUUAGAUUUUUUAAAAUUCAAAUUGGUCCGAAGGUAGUGUACCUGCCAACUCCAAAGGGCAGAGUGUGACCAAUAUUGAGGAAUAGUGACAAAGCCAAUGUGUAAGGAGGGGUUGGCAUUUCCAGCUAUUCCAUAAUGGACAACUCCUUCGAUUUUGAAUAGAGUUAACAGUAGCUGACUCGUUAUUCCUGCAUUUAUCUAUUAUAUAACAAGUUAGACAUAAAUAAUUACUAAACUACAUUAGUAGUCAUCCGAUUAUUUUUUCUGUAACUUAAUUAUAAAAAAGUUUAACUUUUUUUGUCAUCUUACUAUUUUAAAUUUUUGAAUAUUUUAUUUUUAUAUUAGUCUGUUAGUGACUAAAAAAAUAAAAUCAAAUAAUUGAAGGAUGACUUUGUAAUUUUUUAUAAUUAAAUAAUAAAAAAAGAUAUAGUUAAGUGACUACUGAUAUAAUUUAGUCUAAAUAAAAAAACAUGGAUUAGUAAUUAUACCAUGCUCAGUCCCGUCAUGACUAAUAUAACAUUUUUCUCAACAAUUUUCCCGAACCGAAAUCUCCUUCCUAGGAAAACCCACAAACACAAAUAUAUAUAACUAUAUAGAAAAGAAUAAGAAAAAAGAUUGGUUUUAUUCAAAAGGGUUAAUAUAUAAUUUGGCCCUUAAAUUUGUCUAUUUGUACUUAGUUGGCCGCUAAUUUUUUUACUUAAUUAGUCCUUGAAUUUGUAUUCGUUAACCAAGUUGGUACUUCCACACUAACAUUGUUAGUUGCACUAACGUGACACUACUAACCAAUCCGAUGGUGCUACUUGGUAGCCUCUUAGUGUACCACGUGACAAACAUAAAUUAAAAGAAUAAAAAUAAAAAUAUAUAAAUUAUGUUUGUCACAUGUCGUUCUGAGAGGCCGCCACAUGACAUCACCAGAUUGGUUAAAAUUGUCAUGCUAGCACAAACUAAUGGUGCUAGUAUAGAGGGACCAACUUGGUUAACAGAAUACAAGUUCAGAGACUAAUUAGGUCCAGAAAAAAUUUAGGGAACAACUAGGUAAAAAUAGAAAAAUUCAAGGACUAAAUUAUAUAUUAUCCCUAUUCAAAACUAUAUGUAUACCAUAAUAUAUAUAUACAUAUACCAGCAAUAUCAAUGGUGAAGUUGGUGGAAGUAUAGUUUGGAUGUUGAAGAAGAGGGUUCAUUUCGAAAAGGUUUGGAAUGAGCAAGCCUAAGUAAGGUCCAUUCAUGUUGGCUUCAUCGAUAAGUUUUUGUGUAUCUGCUGAUAUUGCGCCAUGGGCAUGGUGUUUAUGAAAUAUGGCAACAAGAAACAUCAUGCAUACAACUUUCAUGGCGGCUGCCAUCUCUCUAAGGAACGCGCGCGCACACAAAGAGAGAAUAUAAAAUGGUUGGAGAGUUCAUGUGAGGAGAGGGGUUUUUUUAUAGAGGCAAUAUAUGUAAUGGAACUCACAACCCACAUGGAAAUGAUAGAGAGUCAAAUUGUAGAGCCAUUCAUAUGUGGUGCAAAAUCAUGAGUUGCUUUUUAUAUACAUUUUGAUAUUUGAACUCGAUUUCAAUUGGUAUAUAAUUUUUUUUUAAUUCAAUUAGGUACUAAACGUGAUAAAAUUUAUUAUUGAUAAAAAUAAUUAAUUAAAAUAAUCAAAGUUUAUGUUUAAAUUUUUGAUAAAAUUAAAAUGGGAUAAAAAGGAUAAAAAUAAUAACGUGUAAUUUUACAUUUUUUUUAAUAUGAUGCUCAAGUUAAUUUAUUAAUUCAUGCAAUAUUUUUUUGUCACGAUUCAAUUCAACUUGUUCGGUCAUGGCAUCAUAACAUAUAUAAAUUUAUCUUUUUUAAAAUAUUCAUAGGUCUCUUAAGGUUUUAUCACUUUUAAGUGUGCCUCUAUAAAUUUAAACUUACAUUGUCAAAUACAAAGGAGUGUGCUCUGCAGAAUGAAUACCAUGUAAUCAUCUUUUGUCACCCGUUGGGUCGUAACUUGAGAACAUAAACCAAAAAUUUUUUUUAUAGGCACUCAUAGGUCCCUUAAGCUUUGUUUGGUAAAGUGGAAAGAAAAUUAAUUAGAAUGAUGGAAAAUUGAAGGGGUAGAAAAUUAAAAGGAUGGAUUUGAACUAAGAUACACAUCUCUCUUAUUUUCUCUCAUCUUAUCUUUCCAAUUUAGAAGCAUUAGGAUGAAAAAUGAUACUUUCUUUCCUCUCUCGUUUCUUCCCAAUUAAGUACACCUAAAAUUUAUUUUCCUUCUCCCACCCCUUUACUUUUCCAUCCAAUCAAACACACCCUUAAGAUUUCUUAUCCUCCACAUAUUUAAACUUACAUCCUCAACCAUUCAUAUUUGAUUGUGGAUUCAAAAAAGUACUAAAAUAAUAAAAUCUUAAACCCUUAAAAAAAUAAUUUCAAAUUAUAAUAUUUUAUAUUCAAAUCCAACCACUCAUUUAUUUUUCCUUUCCUUUUCAAUGAAAUAGCACAUUUUUCAUGCAUAUUCUCUCUCACCCACUUGCCAUUUCCAAAAUAUUUAUUUCAGUAAAAUCACGAGGAAGUUGUUGGUUUUCAUUUUUUUCUAAACAAAAUUAUUGAUUUAUAUGUGUACAAAAAUAUGAAACAUAACAAGUUAUUUACGUAGUUUUUUUAUUUUUUUAAUGUAUGUGGUGCCUUAUUCAAAGAAAUAAUUUAUUAUCUUUCAAUCUCGUAUAACAAGUGAUUUAAGUUUUAACACACAUCAGUUUAAUAACCUAACAUUUGCACUUAAAAAUCUACAUCACUCUCCUCUAAGAUUUCCCCGCUGCAAACCAAGUAACACACUUGAUUUUAGUUGCAAUGUAUUAACGAUUACAAGUUAAAAAUUAAAAAUAAUAAUGAUAAAUUAAAAACUCUAUUCAACUGCCUAUUUUAACCAGUAUUUUUGUCUGGUUCAACCAUAAAGCCCCUCCCCGAAUCGGUUCUUAAUCCGACUAGUCCAAUCGGCUGAUCCGUCCAGUUCAAACAAUAUUUUUUUUAAAUCAAUAACAAGGUAAAAUUGUGAUAUUCUUUCAUCACACAUUUAUUUAAUUUAUUAUACAUAUUGUAGUAAAUUUAUUUUAGACUCACCCUUAUUCACUUUCUUUUACUAUUUUAUUGUCUAAUGAGAAAGUUUCACUUUAUAAUUAUACGAUGUUAUUAAUUUUAAUUUUAGUUUUAAUUCAUGUCGUUUUUCCAAUUACUAUUAUAACCAUAAUGUUAUAAAAAUAUCCAAUUUACAACAAUAAAAUCUUAUUUAUUAUUAUAAUUUUAUAAUUAUUUAGGUAAUUUGUAACUCUAAAGUAGUAAAUUACACCAAAAGUUGAAUAUUGAUCGAAGAUGAUAGACUGAAGAAGAAGAUAAUGAUGAUGAGGAGGAAGAGAAUGACAUCUUGAAGCAGAAGAUUAAAAUAAAAAAUUUAUACAUUUGUAAUAUUAUUUUUUUGAGCAAAUUUUAUUUUAGCAAUACAACUAGUACAAGGAGGGGUACAUUAGUAAAAUGGAAAACACGUUUUACAGCACAAUUUGGAAACAAAACAGAUCAAAGCAAUGGACAAAAGAGAUUAAUGGAUUUUAUAUUUGUAAUCUUAUUAGUAUUAUUUUUAAAUUAGAUUUUAUUUUCAAUUUUUUUUGAAGUUGGACUUUUUAAUUUCUUUAAAUAUACUUUUAUUUUAAUUAGGAAGUUAAAAUUUUUAAAAUUUUCAUAUUUUAUUUAUAAUACAAAUAGAUGAUUUAAUAAUAUAGUUGUUUCACUUACGAAAAUAAAUUAUUAGAAAAUUAGAAAAUAUAUUGUGAUAAUCUCAUCGUAAGUUUAAUUAGAUUAUAUUAGAUUCAAAUUGAAUUUACUUUUUAAUUAAUAAUAUUCUACUUGGUUUUAAAUUAGAAAAAAAAUAUAUACAAAAUGUUAAAAAUAUUUUGUAAUAUUAAAAUUGGAAAAUAAAUUUAAUGUUUUAACAUUAAAUUUAAAAAUUAAUAGUUAAUUUGAUAAUUUUAAUACAUUAAAAUCAUAGUUAAUUUUAUCUAUUAUUAGUGUACACAUCCAAAUUAAAUCGAGAUUUAAUCUUAAUUCUUAAAAUACUUUUUUUAUAUUUUGAAAUUUAAUCUUUUAAGAUAUUCACAUAAAUGUUCAAAAUAGAGUUAUUGUUUUACCUUUAUUUAAACUCAUAAUAAAGGUUACAUCUUCAAUUACGUUUAGACUAUUCGAUUUAAUCAAUAAACACUAUUUUAUUACUUUAAAUUAUUUUUUAUUUAAAACCAAUAUUAUUUUUAUUAUGAAACAAUAAAAACACAAAAAGUGCAGUAUAGAAAGAGAUCUUACUACAAAACAGAUUUAUUUUAUAACUAAAAAUAAAAUUAUUAUUUAAUAUACUAAUAAUACUAUUUACUUAUAUCAAUUUUGUAUAGAUUAAAAAAAGUAAGUUGAAUACCAAACUCAAUUUAAUUUUUUUUGUAGUAUUUGAAUAGGGAAAAUCCUAAAAAAAUUUCUUUUUUUCUCCAAGCUGUUUACUUCUUUUCCCUUGUUUUCCCCAACGGUGGUACUAGCCUUGGGGUUGGCUAUCGUCUGCCUUGUUUCUCCAUCCCGCCAACCCUCUCUCUCUCUUUCUUCUCUUUAUUUACUCCGUGCGUCUUUUCUCUUCUCCAGUUUGCAAAUAUUUUCUGUGGUUAUUUUUGUUGUCUUUACAAGUUGUGAUGAACAAAUGACGGUGUUUGUCAUCGUUGAAACCCACCAACCACCAGUAGUUUCUAUUGGAAAAUAGGUGGCUCUUCGUCAACUUCUUAAUCUAUUUCUGAUUGAGAAUAUUUUAGAAUAAUAAAUUAUUUGAUGAGUCGAUUUGGAUUCUUGUUCUAUUGAGUUUUAUGUGUUUUUUUGUUUGUUUUUUUAUUGCUUAAUAAUUUUCAUUUUUAGAAUUUUUUUGGCUGCUCUUGUUGCACGUUUUUUAGUCUUGUUUACGCAUGUAGUCUUGAUUUUGCAAGUGAUUUGGGGGGUUAUUUUGUCAUCGUCCUCUCCAGUUUGGUGGAUGCUCGAUUCUUUUAUUGAUUUUGCCCACCCGUUGCUUUGAUGAUUUUCUUACUGUGAUAAUUUGCUUGCAACCAGUCUAGAUAUAUCAUGCCUGAGUUGUGACAAAGUUGAAUAUCAAUAUGACGUAAUGUUCUAUUGAUUCUGAGGCUGAAGCCUUUAUCGUAUUGAUAGAGCUUGUCCUUCACUGUUGAUGACGAGUGUUUGUUGUUUUUUUCUUUUACUCAAAUUGCACAAUCUCGUUCAUGUAAUGAAUUAAUAAAUUUUCUCUUUAAAAAAAAUAAGUUGAAGAAUAAAAAAUAUAUAUCUGCAUUAUGUUAAUAUUUUAAACAUUUUGUUGACUGAGUUUUAGCUUGAUUGGCAUGAACAUUGUUGUCAAUGCAGGAGGACGUGGGUUCAAGUGUGCUAAAACGCAUUAUCUUCCUAUUUAUGAGUUGGGAAGGAUUAAAAAAAAACAAUUUAUAAAUAUAUUUUUAAAAAUUAUACAAUUACUUAAUUAUAAUUUAAAAAUCCUUUAUUUUUUAAAAAUUAUAUAUUAAUUAUUUUAAUAACGAUUAUGAAAUAAAAAAUUAAAUAAUAAAAACAAAACAUAUAUAUAUUCACAUGAAAUGCAUGUGAUACCAAUAUCUAGUGUCAAGUCUAAUUAAAUUAACUCUCGAAAUUCUGUCAUAUAUCAUCAUAUUAUUUUUAUUAUAAUUGUAAUUAAAAAAUAUAUAAUUAUAUAAAUUGGCAUGCUAGUAUCUAUAUCGUAUUUUAAUUAUUUUUUCAUACUAUGGUCAUGUAACAUAUUCAUAUAAUUCACCAUAUUUAUAUUUGACACAUUGUUAAUAAAUUAUGUUAAGACACAUCAUCAAUAAAUUAUUUAAAAUAUAAUAUAAUAUUUUAAAAUAUUAUUUUAAAUAUGACAAAAUGCCCGGUACUAAAUAAAUGAGAAACAUAAAUAUGUCGGCUCAAUUAUUUGAAAUCCAAGUCAUAUAUGGACCAGUAUCUCUUACCGACAUGACCCGACCCGAGUAAGUUCAUAUAAUUUAGGUUUGUUUGGUUUGCGGGUUUACCCAACCCAAGUCAAGUUGCCACCGGACCUAACUAUUCAAAAACCAUGGCCCAAAAACUUGUAUUGUAGAACCCUAUUUUUUCCUUAAACAAAAGCUUAAUAAUAUUGAUUAUAAUUCUAAACCAACUCAUAUGCAUUUAAUUAAUGAUGGUGUAAACUAAUUUUUAUAUAUAGAUGUACAGGUUUAUUGCAUUUAAAUUAAAAGAUACAUUUAAUUAAUUUAUAGUUUUAUAUAUAAAAUAUUCACCCAUAAUAUAAAUUAGUGCAUAUAUAAAAAAAAUAUUUAUUUUUUAUUUUUUAUAUAUAAAUAUUUAAACAUAAUAAAAUUUAAUGCAUAUAUAAAUUACACAAUUUUUAAUAUAUUCCAUAAACAUAUCGUUCCAUUUAAAACGUUUGAAAUAAAUUUGCGGACAUUUUAAAACAAAUUUUUAGUUAUGGUAAAUGUCAAUUAUUGGAGUAUUUUUUUAAUCAAUAUGAGAUUAAAAUUAAUUUUUUAAUUUUUUAAAAUGUAUCUAAAAGUAUGUAUUUAUUAUUUUAUUUAUAAUUUAUUUUUUUUUAAUUUAAGAAAAAAGAUAACGAGAUGAAAAAAAUUUGCACCGAUAAUUAUUUUUUUUAAACUAAUCACAAUUUUUUUAAAAAGUAUAUUAAUUAAUUUAGAAUAUGAAUAAUUGAUAAAGGCAUUUGCAUUUACAAUCAUAUGGAUCAUCACCUAUGAUUUCUCAUUUAACUAUAAAGAUUGAAGAGUAUAUUCCACACCUAUGCUGCUCAUGAUCUUUUAUCUAAUUAUAGCCCAGGGGGUUUUAAAAAUGGAGCCAAACCAAAUAUACCUUCCACAUCAAUUGGAACUUGAAGUGCACUUUUAAUCACCUCUGGUGUUGUAGUCUUGCCUUUCCAAGUGUUAAACCAUGGCCCUCCUCCUACUUCUAGUGCCGCCAUGUCACUUUUAACAUCCAAGAUCAGCUGCAUUUCGGAAAGAUGUACCGGAAAGUAAUGUAUUAAUUAUGUAAGGACUAGACUUGAAAUAUCUUAGUUGAUUGAAUUUACCAAAACCAACUUUGGGAGCCCGUAGCAUUUUUAUUUGUCGAAUAACAGGUUAAGGGCUCAAAUCUAAUAGGGAUUAACCUGAGGAGUACAGUGUACCCACAGCAUGUAACAAUUACACAUAUAAUGGCUUUGUUACACCAAGAUUAUCUGUUCCUUGAUUCUCAUCUCAGUUGGAUGAAAUUUUGGAUAAGCAGCAAGCCUCCAUAUAGAUAGAACUGAGAUGCAAAAUUCUCUGAGGUUAUACUAAAAAAUAGGUGGAUGUACCUGGGAUGUCCCUUUAUUAUAGGGACCAAUUUAGUCUCUAUACUAUUAAAAAGAAUCAAAUAAGGCCAAAUUGGAAUAAGAUUUAAUAUUUAUUGUUUACAAUUUGGAUUUAUUUGAUUUUUUUAAUAGUAUAAGGACUAAAUUGAUCUAUUUAAUAACAAAGGGACUAAUUUGAUCCAGUCCCUAUAAUACAGGGACCUCUCAUAUGUUCUUAUUCCAAUAGUAUAAAAAGCCAAAAUUGCUCAGCAAGAACUGAUUCAGAUGGUUUCUCCUCUCUCUAAAUUGAUGAUAAGGUGUUCAUUUUAACCGUCAAGAAGGUAACAAUAGCAUACCUUGCCUUUACUGCCACCAACAUUUUUUUCCCAGAUCUUCAAUGUUAGAUCACCUAAACAAGUGUCUAAACAAGCUGGAGUAAGACCAGCCUCUACUGUUGGAGCAAGCAAUGUCGUACCUGAAUCAGUUGUUGUUGCCUCUAACUCAACCUGCUCAUAAACAGGACUUGAUAAGAGUUCGCCGGUAAAUAUAUUAAACUCAAGAGUAGUUUAACAAUCAAUCAGACCACCCAUCAAAAUCAACUUUCUAAGUUCUAAUCUACCAGGUCCACAUAUCCAUGGGUAUUAGACUUUGCAGAGUUUUGAUUUUCGGUAUGAAAACUCUUGACAUAUCACAAUGAAGGGAAGAUAACAUCACCAAGAGAAGUAAAAAUUACCAAGUGUGUUUUGUUUUCUGCAGCAAUGUUCCAGUAACCCCACUGGGCAAUUUCCCAAGUUACAACACCAUUCCAUGGCACAAAUUCAUAGAAAAUUCCAUCAUAGUGCACUCCAAUCUGCACAACCAUAAAAGAUUAAUUUAUAUGUCAAGCUAUACGAAAUUAACUACUACUUUACAACGAAAGAUUUAGUUUGCUCUGAUUGCAAGGCAUAUAUGAUGUGGCAAUACCCAGCUUUGGUUCUUAAAACAUUAAAGAACCACCAUACAUGACAAGUAAAACAUGAAAAAGGAGGAUGCAGUUUCAACUUUCAACUCUCUUGAAACAUAAACAUCAUCAUCAUCAUCAUCAUCAUCAUCAUAAUACAAGCUUCUUUUCAGGCUACAGGAAUCAUUAACAGAAUCAGAGAAGCAAAGAAGACAUGAAAGUUGCUAGAACUGAAGUACCAAUGCAGUAUUUUCGAAGGUCUCAGUCAGUCCAGGCAGCUGCCUUAAUCCACCAGCCGUGGUCAGAGAAAUUUUUCCGCUAGCACCUUCAAAGACGUUACAUUGAGCCUGUAGUAAUAUGUCAAUGAAGAAAUCACCAUGGUUAAAAGGGAAAAUGGUUGAGUUUUAUUCAGUGGAAAACCUAGCACAACAAAAAUGUCUUGAGAUCAUCAAUAGUUUAGUUAAGCAUGCAAGAGUAUGAAGGAAUGAAGAAUUACCCAAAACCAUUUUCUAGGGAAGCCUCCACCCCAAUUCUUUUCUGAAUAUGAAGGGGCAUCUUGAAACUCAAACCUUUCACCAUCCCACUCUAUCCAGCCUGCAGUCCAAAGUCACAACCUGAGAUAAUAUUCUUAAUAAAAAAACACUGGAUUUCUAAAGAGAACAAAUUUCAGUCUAGAUGAUAGGAAACAAUAGUGAGCAACAUAGCAGACAGAGCACAGAUGCAGGCUACAACGUUCAAAAGCCCAAGAGGAAAUCAAUGCAAAGUAAUUCAAAACAGGAAGGAGAAAAGCAAGUGCCUGUUGAAAGUCCACUGGCCAUGCAAAUUUGCCAAUGGGGUUCAAAUAUGGGAAGAGCUGCAGCCCAGCCAGCUGUGGACUUCUGCUUGGACCCAACAUCACCCCAUCCAUAUAUGGGGCGUGUACUGUACUCCCAACGUGCAGUGUUAACAGUUUUUGCAUAAUAUGUCCUGCAAUUAGAACCUAAACCGGGUAAAAAGAAUGCUGAACCCUAAAAUGUAACUUUAUCACAGCAUAGACUUUCGAAUAAAAACAGGAAAUAGGACUUCAUGGAUACACCAUUCUGUUCUGAUGGCAUGUUUGUAAGGGAAAGAACUAUAACCAUGCAGCAGGAAUUCUACAAGGGAGCACUAGCACAUCAACCAUCAAAAUAAUAAUUCUUUUAUACUUCUCACAAAGCUAGAGUUAAAUGCUUUAUGUUUUUCUAUGGAAAGCAAAAACGACAGUAGAUAAAACCAAAUAAUUUAUUUCAUAUGUUUGAUAAAUCAUGCUUAUGCGUUCAAUAUGAGGAGGCACCUGCCAUCAUCACAAAUAAAGCCCUGAUUCCAAAGAGGGCUAACUUGAAAGCCUUCCAAAACUUUUCUAUUGAAUUCCUACGAGAAACAACCAUACAAAAUAUUUGAAGUUAAUAAAGAAUCAAGAUUAAAAUAUAUAAAAUAUCUCAAAGCAGCAGCAUUAAGGUUUGCUUUGCGGUCAUUUUCCUUCGAAGAGUAGAAUCCAAAUAUUGCCGACUAACCUGGGGAGGAACCUCCUUACUUGGAGGUCGUGAGGCUUUGUUGGCUACAAAAGUAUUCCCCAAUGCUAGCUCAUGUCUGCCUAUGCAUUAAAAUUGUCAAUUAGGCAUGUAUAUUUUAUCACUGCACUAUUAAGGUAUAAGAAGGAAAAACACCAAAAGACAAUGACGAGAAUAGUAGACCAACUCUACCUAACAACCAAAUUCAUACAAUUGAGUUUUAUAAGGUUUAUACUUUAUAACAAAGUGGUACAGCGAUGCUGAACUACCCAAGAACUCAUAUUGUGUUAAAACUAGCAAAAAAGCAUAGAGGAAAUAGAACACUUUUAAACUGAAGUCAACAAAGGGCCGCAGCAACUAUAUGUAUAUAUAUAAAGAAAAAAGUGGCAUAUAGACCUAAUAGAUGUCGUUUCAUACUUCCAUUACUGCAUGAUAAAAAAACUCAGGCACAACGAGUGGCCAGUCAGAGAUAAGAUCUUAGAUUAAAAAUUCAUGAAGCCAGUAACGAAGAGAACUUACUUCCCCAAAAGUUUUGAGAUUCCUCGCUGUAUUGGCAUAUAUACUUGCCAUUAGCACCAAGAACUUGUGCCCCAACUCCUGUAAAUCUAGGUCCGUGCUGCAGCAUUUCCAAUGGUGUCAGUGUCCUCUUAAAUGCAGGAUUCUCCACCGAGUAUAUGAAGCAAAAGCUCUGUUUUCGUUCUGGGAUUGAUACCUUAAAGUACCAACCCUCAAAAAAUUGUCGAGUAGUCCCAUCAAAGUGGUACCUAUAUCCAACUAAAGCUUUUCACCAUUGGAAUUAUAUAAAAUUGACCCUUUGCUUAGAUGAUCACCAUGAAUGAUAGCCUUGAGGAACCUGAUAUUAACACUUUAAGAAACGCUUGGAUUGAGUCAUCUUACGUUACUGAUAGGAAUGUGAGAUUCCUUCUCAGAUUAACAUAUUUGAUUCAACAACUUUCAUAUGAUAUUACCAACAUGGUCAAAAUUUUGGUAAUGUAAGAGUAAUCUCAAUACCAUCAUUUUAUAUUACUGAGUGAUUUUUGACAAUUUUACAUCCAUUUUCAAUGACUUUGUUCCAUUUUUCUUAAAAAUCAAUAAAUCAAAUUUUCCAAUUUUUUGACAGAAUCCCUUAUAACAUUUUAAUUUUAUUUAUUUAUUAUUGUCAUUUUGUAGUAUAAUUUAAUAGCUUUUUCAUCCUUAAGAACAAUUUAGUAAAAAAUGGUAUCAGAUUAUCUUAUAUUCUUUAAACCACUCAAAAGAAUCUUACAUUUCAACCAACUAAACCAAACCAAAAAAUUAUUAACAUUCUUAUACCAAAAUAAUCAAAUAUUCUCCAAUCCACCAUUUUAUCACCUAUAACCUUUAUAAAUUAUAAUUUCAAAAAAAAAUUACCGAACGUAGAAAAGACUAAAUUUAGCUUAAGCAAUAGCAAUUCAGAUUUUUACGGUCUAACCAUUUUCAGAAAAAAAAAAGUAAAAGUUUCAAAAAGGAAAAGCCUAGUCAAACCUUGAAUAUGAAAAUUACUCAAGUUCAACUUAAGCAAUUCAAAUUCACUAAAGGCAACUUAGAAGAGUCGAAUUACCCGCUGUGAGGAGUCCGAGUCUCUCGAUUAACUGGCGUGGGGACAUAAACCGGACUGACGGAAACGGACCUCUUGGCUGCCGGAGAAGAAGUUUCGGACUCAAUCUCGGAGACGGAGCUGCAUGCGACAACCGGCGAGUUCGAUCGAAACCCUAGCCUAAGAGGGCCGAGUUCUCGUGGAGAGAAUGCAUUGAAAGUUGAAGAUUGAGAGAAUUUAAGGGUGGAUUUGGAGUUUAGAGAGUGAAGUCCAAGAAAACAAGAAGAAAAUUGGUGAAGCUGGUUGAGUGAGUAAAUGUUUGGGUCCAUGGAAAUUGGAAUAUCUCUGAAAUCAGAAAUAAGUGGAGGGAAAUAAAAAGGAGAAAAUUUUGAAACUUGAAAGAAAUGAGAAGUUUGGAAUUUAAACUGAAAGCGUUUUUUUUUUUUUUUGGUAACAACUAUGAACGUGCCAUUACAGACCUGAAGUUGAGUGCACGUUUGAGCAAGUGGAGUGUAAGUUUGAGCAACACGUGUAACAGACAUUGGGAUGGAAAUAAUGUUCACAAAAAAUACGACCGCACGGCUCACAACCUAAAAUCAACUGUUAUUACAAUUACUCAAAAAAAAUAUAAACAAAAAUAAGAGUAAUAAUGUUGGCUGAAUUUGCCAAAAAAACAAAAAAAGGGGGAAAAAAUUGGCUGUUUAUCGGACAUAUUUAUCAGAAUAUAUUGAUUUGGAAGGGAAAGAUGAAAAUAUGUCUAGUAGAACGCAUUUUUAGUUGAUUUUGUAAGAAAUUAAAUACGCUCUAACACACUUUCUUACCUAGUUAGAAGUAUUGAUACCCUAAACUUUCAUUAGAAUAUGAAUUACCAAUACUUUUUUAAAGGUAUCAAUACUUCAGACUAGGUAGGAAAGUGUGUCCAAUAAGGCGCGUUUUCUUACAAAAAUUCAUUCUUCAAAAUGUAUUUUUAAUUUUUCUUUUCAAAAUCGAUCUAUUCUAAUAAAUAUGUUAGAAAUCGACCUAAACAACCAAAUCUCUUUUUCUUCUUUUUUUUACUUUUUGGCUAAUUUAGCCAAUAAUGUUAUUACAAUUUCUAUAUUAUAUUUUGUUUUAAAUAUUUACUUCCUUAAAAAAGCUACUUUUAAAUAUCUUAAUUAAAUUACCAAACUUCUCAUCCCUUAAAAUAGCCUUGAUUUCGAACAAUAGAAUAAAAUAGCCUUGAUUAGUAAGUCCUUGAACUAUACCCAAUUUUUAUAUUAGUCCUUAAAGGAUUUUUCACAAUUAAUUAAAUUAUUAAUUUGGAAAUCGAAGUAUAGUUGAAGGGUAGUUAACUAAUACAAUCUUUAAAAUAAAAAUUUGUUAACUUUAUUGCUUUCCACAGUAUAAGAUGUAUAUAUUAAUAUACAUAUAUGUGUGUGUGUGUGUGAAUUUAUUUAUAAGUACGUUGUACCUAUUGAUAUUUUUUUUUAACAUUUGUUUAAAUUAUAACCACGUUGUGCGGAUGAAUUUUUAAACAUUUUUAUUAGGAAUAAAUAUUAAAAUUAUAUAUAAAUUUUAGUUUAAUGUGUAAUAUUAUAUUAUAGUUUAAUUUUGUGUGAUUUUAUACAUAAAACUUUAAUUUUAUACAAUUUUCACAAGUUACUAGUAACAUUAUUGAAUUGGUAUCAUUUUACGUUAAUAUGUUACAUACACAAAUAAUUAUAUUAAUUCAAUGUGAAAAUAAAUGUAUGUAUUCAUUUUUUUUAAAUGUGUAUACUUGAAUUAAAAUCAAAAUUUUACGUAUACAAUUGUUCCAGGAAGGUUGAUUUCUGAUAACGUGCUCCUUGCUUAUGAAAUUCUUCACACCUUAAAACUCAAGAGGUUGGGAAAAAAGGAUUCAUGGCUGUUAAAUUGGACAUGAGUAAGGCUUACGAUAGAGUUGAAUGGGGCUUUGUGGAAGGGGUGAUGGAAAAAAUGGGCUUUGAUCCAGGAUGGGUCGAGUUAGUAUUGAAGUGUGUAUCUUCGGUCUCGUAUUAUGUGAUUUGUAAUGGAAAUACUGGACGAACGUUUCUUCCGACUAGAGGUCUCAGACAAGGGGAUCCUCUAAGCCCUUUCUUAUUUCUCUUUUGUGGGGAGGGAAUCUCAAGUUUAAUUAGGCUUGCAGAAGGAGAUAAUGUUCUUAAAGGUGUUAAAGCAAGUAGACAUGGGCCAGCUAUAACUCACUUACUGUUUGCAGAUGACUGUAUUUUAUUUGCAGAAGCUACUAAAUGGGGUGCACAUUCAUUAAAAUAGAUUUUGAAAGAUUAUGAGGUGAGUUCUGGGCAAUGUGUGAAUUUUGAUAAAUCGAUGGUUUUCUUCAGUACAAACACAAAAGAUAGAGAAAGGGAGGUUGUUUCACAGAUCCUUGGAGUCAGAAGAGCAAAUGAUUUGGAAAGGUAUUUAGGGCUUCCUAGUAUGGUGGGGAGAAGAAAGAGAUCGUCUUUUCAAAUUCUGAAGGAUAGGCUAAAGCAAAAAAUCGACAACUGGAGUGUCAGGUUUCUCUCUCAAGGUGGUAAGGAAGUGUUUAUAAAAGCAGUUCUCCAAGCUAUCCCAAAUUACUCAAUGGCUUGUUUUUUACUCCCUAGGACUCUUUGUACAGAUCUGGAUAAAAUUAUAGCCAAUUUCUGGUGGCGAAAGAGACAAAAUAAAAAAGUAUUCAUUGGUGCACUUGGAAGAAUAUUUGUUUACUUAAAGAAGAUGGAGGUCUCGGUUUUCGUAAUUUUGCACAGUUUAAUAUUGCGUUAUUAGCGAAGCAGGGGUGACGUCUUAUUAAUUAUCCGGAUUCAUUAUUGGCCCGAGUUUUGAAAGCAAAAUAUUUUCCUAAUUCUCAUUUCUACGAAGCUCGGUUGGGGAAUUUACCUUCAUUUACCUGGAAGAGCAUUUGGGCUGCGAGAGGACUCCUUGAAAGAGGACGUGGAUGGAGGGUGGGGAGAGGUGAUCAAAUUUCCAUCUGGACUGAUUCGUGGAUACCAGGGAUCGAAGCAGACAGAAUACCGAUUCAGGAUGGAAAUGAUAAUAUUAAAUUAGUCUCUGAUUUAAUUGAUUCAAAUAGUAGGAGUUGGAAAAUAGAGUUGAUUAGAAAUACCUUCCAACCGGUCAUUGCGGAGAAAAUUUUGCAGAUCCCACUGGCGGAGACAGUACAAGAGGACUUUCAAGUAUGGAGAGGAGAACCGACAGGGGAGUUCUCCGUAAGGAGUGCUUAUAAACUAUUACAACAGACUAACCUUGAUCCUAAUGGAUUAAUGUUACAUACCGAGGAAAAAAAUUUCUAUACUAAAUUAUGGAAAUUACAUAUUCCCUCAAAAAUUCAAAUGACAGUAUGGAGGAUCUCUUGGAACUUUAUCCCAACUUUUAGCAACCUCAAAAUCAAAAGGGUUGUUAGGAAUUCCCAGUGUCCUAGAUGCGGAUGUGAUGAAGAGAAUAGCUACCAUAUCUUCCAAAAAUGCCCUACAUCGAUAGAAGUUUGGAAUCAGUUGAAUCUUUCAUGGCUACUGAGUCAGAAUAAUGAUAAUAUAUGGGGUUGGCUUACAUGGGUCUUUGCUAGAGGAACUGAUGAACAACUUCGACUCUUCUGUUGUAGCCUCUGGUUCAUAUGGUUCAGUAGAAACCAGCUCGUUUAUGAAAGAAAGAAUAUGUCAGGAUCAGAAAUCGUUAGGAAGAUCAGCAAUUAUAUUACAGAACUUGCAGUUACAAAGGAAGGAAAAAUUACUCUUUUGUCUCAUGAGUUUUCUCAACAGGCGUCCAGAAGCGGUAGGACCAUUAUUCAUUUUGAUGUAGCCUUCAACAGUCAGGAUUUCAGAUCGGCAUCGGGUUUAAUAGCAUGGAACGAGGAAGGGGUACUACUUGCAACACAAGCAGUUACUCAUUCAAACGUAGCAAAUCCAUUUAUAGCAGAGGCAUAUGCAGGAUUACAUGCAAUAAAACUAGGGAUUAGACUGAGAGUUAACAGAAUAGAUGUUAUGGGGGAUUCGAGAACCAUUAUAAAGAAAUGUAAAAGCAAAAAUACAGACAAAUCUGUCAUUGGAGCAAUUAUCAGAGAUAUUCAGACUCAUAGCAACAGUUUUCAGGAGAUUGAGUUCAGUUUCAUCCAAAAGGCAAAAAACAUUUACGCACACACUAUAGCAAAGGAGGCCUUGAGAAGAAAUGAAUGCCUUUACCUGGAGAAGGAAGUUCCUGUGAUGGUUCGGAGAGCGGUGGGAAACCUUUGGCCAAAACCGCCAGACUGAAGGAAGAGGAGUUUUUUGGAAGGAAGAGUAGCAGAGAAAACGUUUUAUUUUUAUUGAAAGCCUGCUAUUCAUUAUGCUGGGCAUUGGAAAUGAAAAGAAGAAUUUAAUGGUAUCCAGCUAUUCUUUGAUUUGACUGGAUAGGGUAAGAUUAGUUGCAUUUAUUUUUAUUUUAUUCUUUUGAACGGGAUGGAUAUGGCUGGGCAUUGGAAAUGAAAAGAAGAAAUAGAUGGUAUCCAGCUAUUCUUGAUUUGACUAGAUAGGGUAGGAUUUGAUGCAUUUAUUUUAUUUUUUUCUUUUGAACGGGAUGGACUAUCUAGGCCCGCUUUGUUUUUUUAGUCUGUUUUGUUUUUUUUUGUAAUGGCCUUAGCCCAACUUUUAAUUCUUUUAUUAUGAAAAUAUUCCAAUCAAAUUAUUCAAAAAAAAAGUUCAAAUAUCAAAUUACACAUUAAAUCAAAAUUUAAAUAUAAUUUUAAUAUUUAUCUCUUUUUAUUAUUUUCAUAUUUGGAGAUCCCAAGUAAACACUUGUUUAACAAUUACUGGAAAAAAAUACACUAACACCAAUGUUGGAUAUAAAAUAUACUUACUUUUUUAUGAUUUGAAGAAUGCACUUAUGUGAACCCCAUGUGAUGGCUUAAUGGUCAAGUAUAUUUAUUGCCCCAAGUGUAAACUGUGUUUGAGUUGUACUAAUCGCACUUGUUAUUCGAGUUUUACCCUAUUCUUGUAAUUCACCCAAAAAAUGCACUUUGUCAAUAAAGAAAUACUCUUUUUGAAGCAAGUAUUUGAAGUUGCAAUUAUGUGUCAAUAAAAUUGCUCACUUUCAUCCUCAUUGUGAUAGAGUAUAAUUUGAUAUAUUUGAAGGAUUAACAAUUUAUUAAAAUAAGAUAUUUGGGUUAUGCGAAUAUUGUGACAUUAUUUAAGUUCAUCUAUAAUGUCUAUUUCAUUUGGAGAAACAUAUUUUUGGGAUUGGAUUUAGUUUUUAAAUUUAGACUAGUGAUCAAACCGAUCAAAUCACCGAUUCACGGUUUGACUGGUUCGGUCGGUUUAAAACUAAUUUAACCCUAUCUCUGUGAUAAAAGGGGAGGGGUCCACUUACACAGUGUAAAAACUAAAGUAGUUUUACACAAUUUCGUAACUAUUUGUAUUAUUAAUAUCUUACUCAUCCAACCAUUAUAUUUUAUGAUCUAUUCAUGUAGAUCAUGCACAUUAAAUUUGAUAUAAAUUUAAAACUUCUAACUAUUUGUUUUAUAUAAACACAUUUCAACCAUUGAAUAUAAAUUAAUAUAUAGAGUAUUUUAGAUCGAUAUGAUAAAAAUAUCAGAUUGAUUCAAAAAUGUACAUUCAUGAUAAGCACAAUUAUAUUGAUAAAUCCAACGGUUGUAUCAUUAAAAUUAUUAAUCAUAUUACGAAAGUGUAUAAGAACUACUUAUUAAACUACUCUGUAAGUGGAUCUAUUUUAUUUUUGAUAAGUAUUUUAUAUUUGAGAUUAAUUUAACCUCACUAUUUGAUAUUUGUAAAUACUUUAAAUAUACAUAUAUCAAAUGUUGUUAAAAAAUAGCGAUAAAUCUAAAACAUUAUACCAAAAUAGACCGGUACUAAUACAUACUAAUAUUAAUAAAAAAAGGUACAUUUACCUGUAUCACACUGACUACCUUGGUGUCCAUGCUAUUUCCAUGCUAACAUCUGUCCAUGGAGGAAAAUGCCCUAAGCAAUUGAUGGAAAUAAAUAAUAGAUAAUUCUAGAUUUUGUCCCUCACAUUUUUUGUUUAUACAAUUAGGCCCCUAUUUGAAGCGUUUAAAUAUUCAAUUAGGUCCAUGCAUCUAAUUAAUUAAUUAAUUAAUUAAUUAAUUUUGUUACUAAAUUUAGACUAAAAUAAGUUCUAUUUAGAUGUUAUGAUCUUCCGUUAUGAUGGUGGGUGUCUUUGCACAAUAAAAAUGGUAAAACUUCAAUUUUAUUUUCUUCUAUUAUACUUAAAUUUAAUUAUUAUACUUUAAUUUCUAACAUUAGAAAUGUGAGCAUUUUAAACUUUAUGGUUUUGAUCAAGAUUAUCGGAAUUGGUAAAGUGGUCAAACCAAACAAAUCAUCGAUUAUAGGUUUGAUCAAAUAAAUUAUUAAAGAAUUAUAAAAAUAAAUAGAAAAUUAUUUUCUUAAAAAAAGAGAAAAUUUAGUUCAAUCAGUUCGAUAAUUUUUUUAGCUUGGUUCAAUCGGUUUAUGGGUCAAUCAAUUCAAUUCAUCUUCAUACCGGUAUCCCAGUCAUUUCCUAGUCUAACUAGUUUGACAUGCCAAUCUAGCUUGGUUCUGAAAACACUAGUUUUGAUCGAUGAAAGAACUUUACUGAUAUUGCCAGGGUGAGCAAGACAAAAUUAAUUAUUCGUGUCUCGACUUCGGAAAAGUAAAUUUUGAGCAUUGUUAGUAUUGCAAAACAUUAUAAAUAAAAAGAAGAAGAAAGAAAGAACGAAAAAGAAAAAGAAAAUUUAUACGAAUCUUCAAAAUCAUUUGAAUUUUGAUGUAAAAUUGUUUAGAUAGAGUUAAUAAUUUUGAUAAUAUAUCCAAAUGCAUUCCUUCUUUAUUAAAAGGAAUUGCUAUAUGUCCAACAAAUAAAGUCAAUAUAAGCCUAGGAAAUAACAUAGUAUUAUUUGAUUCAUGAGAAUAAGGAGAAAUAAUGUAAAAAAAAAGUAUUUUUUUUAAAAAAAUUAUAUGAUGCCACAAUUUAUUAUUAGUUAAAAAUUUUUUUGGACAGAUAAAAUUUUGAUGUAAAUUGAAUAACAGAAAAAUAGUUGAUGUAUGGACGAAAAAAAAAGGUAUCAAGUCGUGAAAAGGAUAAUAAUAUAAAUACUAAUUUGGAUGUGAUUGAUGGGCAUGCCUUUGAAGGCAAUUUAAGGUUACUUACGGCAGAGCAGCAAUAGCAUGCCAGGGACGCGAACUCCUUGGCUCUUAAAAAGAAAAAGAAUCGUCGACAGCAGGAUUCGAACCUGCGCAGGCAAUGCCCAACAGAUUUCGAGUCUGUCUCCUUAACCACUCGGACAUAUCGACAUUUGAUUCUUGGUUUCUAUAAAUUUAUAAUUAAACAAUCUAGUUUCUUUUCAACACAUAUGAUACAAUUGAUAAAAGUAGAAGUUUUUUUUACUAAUGAAUUAGCGAUAAAUUAAUUUUAUUUGGUAAUAUUUAAGUACUCAGACAAAAUUUAUUGGAUAAGUCCUAUAGUCAUGGUCCUAUCCAAUAAUAAAAUGUCACCUAACAAUAAUAUUUUACAUGCUCACUCUUAAUUUCCAUUCCAUUCAACACUUUUAAGCUUAUUCGUUUUUUCCUUUCUAAUUCAUUUUCCUUUUUCAAUUUGCUUAUAGAGAAGCAGAUUAUUUGGUGAAACUGGGUUCCGUGGACCCCUGACAUAGUUUCGACUGCAAAUACCACCAGAAGGAAUCCAACAAAUAAUUGUCGUACAGACCAUAAUGAAUACACAAUUUGAUCACCUAUAUGCACACAAACGGUUUUUGAAAGAAGAGAAAAAUGUUCAUCACCUCUUUUCUCUUUUAAUAUAUAUAUAUAUAAGGGUUGUUUUUCCCUUUUGCCAUUGAAAGCUGUAAGUAAAUAGCUGGCUCUUGUUGGGUGGUGGUGGCACAAGUGCUAGUGUUCUUGUAAGCAGAAAUGGCAAAGGAACUGGUGGCGACACCGUUGUCACUGCUGCUGUAGGCACAUUUAGCAGCGAAGGAGGUCGUAAUGGAAGGAAUGAAGCUGCUGCUGCUGCAAGCAAAAUGUUUGGUUCCAACGGCAAUAGUAACGAUUCAAGUGAAGACAAUAAAGGCAGAGUUGAUGAAGGUGACUGCUCUUUUAAAGGCAGAAGACUUUGGCACUCUUGAAAGUAAGGUCGGACAUGGAUGUUCCCUUUAGUGAAGCUAGUGUUAAGGGUCCAUCUUGGGAAGAGCUCUCAAGGUGAUUAUCAUUUUAGCACAGUAGACAAAAUAAAUAGGCAGCUGCUUGAGCACGGCUUAAAGGGAAAAAAAAUCUAAUUUGGUUAAGCCCAUAUUAAUCUAUUAUUGAAUAUGUAAAAUUAACUAUCAUAACAUUUGACUCUAGAGUAAUUUAUAAAUCUAAUUUAAUAUAUAUUAUUUAAGUGGCGUAAUGUUAAAAGAUAAUGAUUUGUUUCUCUCUCUAACUUUAUAAAAAAAUUAGGCUUAACGAUAAAUUUGGCCACUAACGUUUGCAUGUUUUAUCAAAAUAACCCUAAUUAUAUUUUCGAGCCUUUUUUAGCCAUUAAUCUUUAAUUUUUUUUCAAACUAUUUUUUCUAAUAGAUUUAAUGAAUAAAUUCAAGGUUUUAAUUUUUCUUUUUCUUAUUUCAAAAGGUUUCAAUAUUUUAUAUGUUUGUUUACUGAGAGAUUUUUCUACUGAAUUAAAUUUUUUUAGAUAAUUACGUUUAUUUUCUUUAAAUUAAGAGUUAUUUUAUUAAGUUCAUGUAUUAUUUAUUUAUUUUAUUAUUUUCUACAUGUAAUUAUCUUAUAGGGUUAUUUAAGUAAUAAAUUACAUCUCAUUAAAAAUAUUCCACAUAUGAAAUUCCACAUCAUUCCCAUUAAUUUUUUUAGCGGUACUUUCAUUAAAUAUGUUGGAAAAGUAGUUUGGAGAAAAACCAAAAGUUGAUGGUAAAAAAAUGUUCAAAAAUAUAAUUAAGGCCAUUUUGACAAAAUAUGCAAAUGUUAGUGGCCAAAUUUAUCAUUAAACCAAAAAUUUAUUUAACCUUUCAUUUAAUUUUUCGUCUCUUUUAACCUUUGAACUUACAUUAUCUAAUAAAUCACUCCAAAAUGGAUAUAAAAAUUAACGUUUAUUAAUUUUGUUGACGUGACAUCCAUAUGGUAGUCUACAUGUAUGUCAUGUUAGCAAUUAACUAAUUUUUUCUAAAGUAAAAAAUUAUUUAUUUAAUAAUUUAUUUUUAUAUUUUUUUUGAAUUUUUAAACUUUUAGAAAAUUAAUUAAUUACCGGCAUGACAUUCAGGUGGCAAUCUAUGUGUAUAUCAUGUUAAUAAAGUUAACGAUUAACUUUUACAUUCAUUUUGGAUGCAAGUUUAAGAGUUAAAAGAGACGAAAAAUUAAAUGAAAAACUUAAAUAAUUUUUUUUCUAAAAUUAAAAUGCCAAAUAAAUUAUUAUGCCAUCAAUAUUUAUGUGUUUCAUUAAUUUAGCUUUUAUUUUUUUAUUUUUUUAAGUUUAAGCUGGCUUCUAACAUUUUAAUAAAAUUCAAAUCUUAUUAUAAAAUUACUGAUUAAAAGAUUAAAUUUAUUUUAUAGUUUCUUAAAUUUAGUUUUUUAAUUUGAAAGUUUUUAUAUUUUAAUACUUUAUAAUGUUUAUAAAAUUAAUAUUUUAAUUAGUAUUUUCAAAUAAGAUUUGGCUCACUUUGAAAAAUUAAAAAUUAAACUUUAAAUAAUUCAAAAAAAAUAAAAAUUUAUAUUACAUCGUUUUUCUAAUUAAGCUUAAUCUAAAUAGCUUAUUAUCUCAAACUAAACUGAAAAUGGAAAUAAAUUUAAUCAAGAUGUGAAGUGAAACCUGAAACCUUAAAAUGGAGCUGAAAAUCAAGCCAACUUUUUACAAACUCUAAUAGUCUUUAAUUACACACCUACUACUCUAUUAUUAUUAUUACUAAAUCAAAUAAAUUUGUUGAAAAAAUAAUUUACAAGGCAAACACACAGUACAAUAGAACAUAUUCCCAACUUGUUCAAGCUUUGCAGCAUAAGAAACGACCAAGUCCUUUAGAAGGUUGAGUUUCUGAUAUCUCAAUCUCCAUCUUCUUCCUCUCCUCUUUACCCUUUACGUUUACUUCAUCAUUGAUUUUAGGUAUUACGAGAACAAGCACACCAUCACGCAUUGAAGCCUUCAUCUCAUCAGCUUUCCCAUUUGGGGGCACACGGAAUUGCCUGUUAAAGUUGCCACCACCACCCCAUCUUUCUCUACAAUGCCACCGCCACUUCCCUCCUUUCUCCUCUUCGUCGGCAUCUUCUUUUCUUUCCGCACUGAUACAAACAAUACUUCCUUGAUGGAUUUGUAGCUUCACGUCCUCUUUUUUGAGCCCGGGAAGAUCGAUCUCGAACACAUGGGAGUCGGGAGUUUCUUUCCAGUUCAUCGGAGGCGCCCACAAUAAACCUUGGAAAGGAUCAAAGAUGUUGCUUUGGUUUAAGACUUGCAGCAGAGACAUUUUCGAUGUUGUGUUGUAUGAUGUUAGACUUUAGAGGUUAUAUAUACUGUAGGUUUUUGAUAGGAAAGAGUGUUCUUGAAAUUUCUGGAGCUAGAUAAAGAGAUCAUUGUAGAAUGUUGGAGAGAUUUUUCUUUGUCAACGAUUCACUUUAUUAUUAUUUAAAAAAAUAAGGUGAAAUAAAUUAGGUUUAUUUUUAAAUUUGGAAAAAUUAGUUCCCCUGUUUUAAUUUAUCAAAGUUAAUCUAGUUGUUUUUAAUAAUUUUUGCUUAAAACUUAAUUUUCGAGAUUAAAUUUUAAUAAAUUAAAUUAAAAGAGCUAAUUUUUUAACUUUUCUAAAGUAAAGAAAUGUAAAUGAGAAUUAUACCAUCGAAUUAAUAGGGAAAAGAUUGCAUGAAUAAUGACGUCACGUUGUCUAUAUCUAUUUUCCAAUAGUUUAAUGUCAAUCAAAUCUAAAUGACAAUCUUGAAAUUCAGAAUGAAAUUGUUGAUAUAAUAUUAAACUAUUGGAGAGAGAUAAUAUAUUUGUUUCAUGCAAUCUUUUCUCCGAAUUAAUAUGUGGAGGAAGUUUCUGGGAUAAACUGGACCCUUUUAUCUAAUAAUCGAUAGUUACUGAAAUAUUUUCUUUUCAAUUUUAUUGAGAUCCUGUUUAAACAACACCAAAUGGAAAACAAAAUUGGUUUAACUCUGUAAUUUUUAAAUUUUUGAAAUUUAUUUUUUUAUUUUAAAUUUCAAAAAUUUAAUUAUUUUAUUUGUCUAAUUUAAAAAUUAAAGUUUAAUUAUAUCACUGUUAAUAGAAUUCAUUUAAAUUUGAAUACGUGUUCUAAGAUUCAAAGAUAUGAAUAAAAAGUAAAGGUUAAAUUGUGUUAUUAGUUUAUGUAUUUUAUGAAAGUUGUAAAUUUAGUCUUUAUAUUUUUUUAAAUUUUAAAAUUUCAAUCAUCACCAAAUUAUAAUUAUUAAAUUCAUUAAAUUAAAUUAUGCUAUUUUCAAAAUAUGAUGCAGCAAACAUAUUAUAAUAUGUGCUGUCGAAACCUCUUUUUUGAGAUCGACUUAUAUUUUAAAAACGAAAAUGUGAGUCGUCACCAAUCCUUUUUAUGAGGUGUGAUCGGAUCACCUCGUAAUUUGAUUGCUUUAAUAAAAGGUUUGAUUUAUUAAAACAAUAAUUUUUUUGGUCUACAAAAUUCAAGAAAUGGGUUCGGGAGUCAGUUACGCACGAGGAAUGAUUAGCACCCUUAUUACGCCCAAAAUUGGUACCUAAUUGAUUACUUGAUGUCUUAAUGUCGAAAAUUAAAAAUUUGAAGAGAAUUUAAAAUGCGAUCUGUAAUACCCCCUACCCGUAUUCGUCGCUGGAAUAGGGUACAAGGCAUUACCAGAUUUUACCGAAUAAUUUUUUUGUUAUUACGAGUUAAAUACUAUUCAUUUAUCGAAACAUGUCAUGACGUCCCUUGGAUGGGCCUCUGAGGCCCAAAACAUACAUCGGGACCAAACCGAGAUUAAAUCGAAACCAUAAGAAAUUUUUUUCGCAAAAUCCCAAAGUCUUUUUUUUUUAUGAACUCAAUAUAACCCCUUUAUAAAUAUAUAAUCUUCCCUCCAAUUUUAAACUGAGACCAAUCCAACACAACCAAUCCAUUUCAACAUAUUUUCAAGAUAGAUUUAACAUAUUCAUAAGAGAACCUCAUCACAUACCAAAACCAAAAUUUGUUAGCCAUACCAAUGGCUAACCAUACAUUCAUUUCACAUUAGCAUUUACUUUACUAGCUUAUACAUGAGGUUGAUAGUGUGAUACGUCUCCGACCAAAUCCAACCUCCGAGCUCUUAACACUACAACACAGGGGAAAAGAAAACAAGGUACGCACUUUGUGCUUAGUAAGCUCAUGUAACAAGAAUUAUACUUACCUAAUAUUUUCAAUACAAUGCAAUAAACAUUCAUACAUCCAUUCAAUGCAUUAUUCCCUUAACAUGCACAAACUCAACAUUCAAGUUAGUUCAAUAAUUUUUAUGUAUCAAUAAUAUUUAUACCAUGAUUGAUGAGCUCAUCAAUACCAUGAUUUCCAUUUCCUUGUUAUUUUUCCAUAUUUAUCCCUUUGAACUACUUGGAAUUUCGAUGGAUUUUCAGGGGUACACCUAAGUGUACAAAUUCGGGUCCGUCAAUUCAUAUUCAUGUGUGCACAUUUCCAUUUCAGAGAGCACACUCCUGCGAACCUCAUCCUUAUAGCGGGAUUACCAGUCCAGGCUAAAUCCCCUAUAAUAUAAACUCAUAGAGUAUUGUCGGGAUUACUAGUCCAGGCUAAAUCCCCUGCAAUGACAAUUACUCUAAUGAGCUUGGAUCUGAAUUACCAGUCCAAGCUAAAUUCAGACCCUAAUUCGGAUUACCCAUCCGGGCUAAAUCCAUUUUUCACAUAUUCUUCGGGAGGGCUAUAUCAUAAUAGGAUCACCCAUCCGGGCUAGAUCCUUUUUACCGUCAAUUCCUUUUCAGAGAUCCAUCGAAUUUUCCUUCCAUUCAACCCGGAUUUCUUCCCCUUUUUAUCAAAUAUAUCAAUGUUUCAUCAAUUUUCAUAUAAUGAACAUUCAAAUCAUAUUCACAUCAAUAACAAACAUUUCAAGCAUUUAAGAAUAUAAUUCAAGUUACAUAACUUACAUCGAUACUUGUUCGUAUGCAAAAAUAUACUAAUCCCGAACUUUUUCUUUUCCUCGAUCUAGCUUCGUAUUUGAAUUUUCUGGAUUUAAAUAAAAAAAUUUAAUCAUAAAAUUUAAUACAUUUCAUGUUCACAUGUAACAUUCUCUAUAAUCCCAUUAUUAUUUAUAGUUCAUUCAGAGCUGUCUCAUUGAGUCAUAGUCACUAAAUUAUUUAUAUCUUGAGCUACGAAAAUCCAAAUUAAGAUCCACUAAUUUUCCCUGAAAUUAGACUCACAUACCUUCUUACCAUAAAAUUUUCAGAAUUUUUGGUUUAGUCAAUAAGUACAGUUUAUUCUUUAAAGUCAUCCCUAUUUUUCUGUGUGACAGUUUUGACCAUUCUUCACUAAAAAUUAAUUAUCUCUUCUUACAGGAUUUGGAUGAUGUUCUCGUUUGUUUGUUUUGAAAAUAGACUAAUUAAUAAUUUUAAACAUAUAAAUUUGAGCCCCUAAUUAUUUUUCUCCAAUUUUUUUUAUGAUUUUCCAAAGUCAGAACAGGGGAACCCGAAAUCAUUCUGACCUUGUCUCACAAAACCUAUUAUAUCUCAUGAUUUACAAUCCCAUUGCUUACAUCGUUUCUUCUAUAAGAAACUAGACUCAAUAAGCUUUAAUUUCAUUUUUAUUCAUCCUCUAAUUAAAUUUCCACAAUUUAUGGUGAUUUUUCAAAUUUAACCUACUGCUGCUGUCCAAAACUGUUUUAGUGCAUGAUGUUAAUUACCAUUUUUCCCCUAAGCUUUCAAUAAAUGAUAAUUUCGUCCCUGCUCAAUUAACCUCUCAAUUGAGAUGAUUUUUUUUUCUCAAUUAGCACUUUAUUACAUCACUUUAAACUAAUUUAUAACCUUUUGAAAUCAGAAUUUUAGCACUAGACUUUGAUUCCAAACUUUUUCAUAAUUAGGUCCUACAAAUCAAUUUCUAUUGAAAUUACCUAAUAAAAUCAUCUCAUAAACAAAUUAAAGCUUCAAUUUUCAUGCUAUUUCAUCAUAAAAUUCCAGCAUAUAUUCAUAGAAACUUCUAAUUUCAUUCAUAAAAUCAAAAACUAAUGAAUUUAGUAAUAGGACCUAGUUGUAAAAGUCUUAGAAACACAAAAAUUACAAGAAAAAGGCAAGGAUUAACUCACUUGGUGCAAAAAUGAUGAAAUACCAGCUUUAAUAAACCCUUAGGACGUUUUUGGCUGAUGAUAAUGAAGAAAAUAUGAAGAGAAUUCUAUAUAUUACAAGUUGGUCCAUUUUUAUUUUAGUAAAUUUUGUUAUUUCCUCAUUUUGCCCUUAUUUCACCAAUUCUCCUGAUUUUUCUCAGCUUAUGCAGCCCAAAAUAUCUCUUAUGUCCCUCUUCAUUUAACAAUUGAGCUAUUUAAUCCUUCUAGUAACUUUUACACCCUUUUCAAUUUAGUCCUUUUCACUUAAUUAACUACCCAAACAUAGAAAUUUUCUAACGAAAUUCUACUACCAUAUUACUAACACUUCAUAAAUGUUUAUAAAAAUAUUUCCGACUCUUUUUUAUGAGAUCGAGGUCUCGAUACCUUGUUUUUACCCAAUUUCUUCAAUAAUUUCUUUUUCUAACUAACCACUAAAUCGGUAAAUUUUUUCUAUCGAUAUUUUCAUACGAUUUUCCUAUCAUAUCAAUAUCCAUGCAAAAAUAUUAAAAUAAAUUUCUCUUUAAAUAGGAUUUGUGGUUACGAAACCACUGUUCCGAUAACCUUGAAUUUAGGCCAUUACACGAUCACUUCGUGUUAAGAUAUUUUAAUAAAAAAGGCUUUAUUCCGAAUUAAUCGAGAAGAAGGAUCUUGCCCUGUGAGUUAGGACAUGACACCUUUAGUUUUCGAAAAUCAAAAUAAUCGAUGUUUAAAUCGUUACUUAAAUCUUGUUUUUAUAUUUUUGAAAUGGAUAUUCGAUUAUUUCGGUUUUAGAAAGAAGCCAUACUCCGUAAGUUAGGAACACGACUUUUCUAAUUCUAAAAGUAAUGAAUAUUUCCACGAUUUAAAAAUUUUACCUUUUUUAUUUAUCGUGCAAAAACAAACAAACAUAAUACUUAAAAUGGUAUGCAUUUUACUUAUUCGGGCAUAAUAUACACAUGGAUAAUUGCUUAAACUUAAUGUAUGAUAUGGUGAUAGUGAAAUAAUAUAAGAUGACCAUGUGGGUAGAACAUUUAUAUUAGAAUAGCAAAUAACAAAUAAAUGGACAAAUACUAUAGUAAUAAUAAUGUAAAUAUGGCAAUAAUAAGAAUAUUAAUUCAUGGCAUUAAUAACAAAACAAAUAAAGUAACUUUGAAAUAAAAAAAUAAAAAAAAUGAAAGGGAAGUAUAAGUAAUAUCAAGUUUAAAUAUUUAAAAAAAUAAUAGAAUAAUAAAUAAAUAAAUAGGCAAAACAAAUAAUAUUAAAUUUAAGUAUUUAAAAAGUAAAAGAAUAAAUAAAAUAAGUAAUAUUACAUUUAAGUAUACGAGAAAUAUAUUAAAAAAAUAAAAAAAAAUGAUGACAAUAUACACAAAUAAAAGGAAUAUAAACAAUAAUUUUUUAGAUAUAUGAUAAAGAAUGAGGAAAUAAUAAAUAAGUAGAUAAAUAUAAAAGAAAAUAGUUUAAUAAAGAUUAAAAAUAAAGGGUUAAAUCAAAAUUUAAAUGAAAUUAAGCACAUAAAUAAAAUAAAUAAAUAGACUAAUAAGGACUUGUUAGGAUCGUCCCGAUUAAGAAACGAACAAGUAAAAAUAGUAGAAGAAAUUGAGAAGAUGAACACACAAAUUUAACGUGGAAAAACCCCUCAAAAGAGGAUAAAAAACCACGGGCAAAGAUAAUUUUACUAUAAUGGCAAAAGAAUGAAGAGUACAAAAGAUGGAGAUAAAAACUAAACCCCGAAAACCCGAAAAACAAAGAACCCUCAAACGUAAACACAAAAUUCUCUGAAUGUGUUAUGAGUUCUAAUCUAAUGGGUGUCUCUUAAUUCUAAGAUUGUAAAGGAGCCUAUUUAUAGGCUAAAUUAGUAAGUCAAAUAAACUAUACUAAUAAAUGCUAAAUAUAUUAUACUAAUAAAUACUAAAUCUUCUAGAAAGAAAAUAUAUUUUUGUUUAACUUGACUUGCAAGCAAUCUCUUAGAAUUUGGGUCACACAAUUCUAACAGGACUAAAAUGUAACACGCUAAAAGGGAUAGGGACCGAUCGAAAAAAUAUCCCAAAUUUCCCUAUGUGCAUCGUUUAAAAGGACUAAAAUUAAAAAAAUACUUUUAUCUGUUAAAAAAAAACUCGUUUAGCCCUUUUUUUUUCUCUCAGCCUUCCCCACUCCGGCCUCGGUGCCGGCGAAUUUUUGCCGCGAUGGCCACCGGUCGACCUUUCGACUCCCACAGUAAAAAUCACCUUUGAAGUUUUUUUGAUUUUUGUAUUUCGAUUUCUUUUUUUUUAUUUCCUAAAAAUCCUCCUUACAAUCUGGUUUUUUAGGCUCUUUUAUAGUCGAAUUACAACAUUGUUUUUUUUCUAUUUUUCUAUUGUUCUUGUUGUUGUUUCUGUCCUUUUCCAUUCCCUUUUUUGCAAGUACUGACACGGUCAACGGAGGGGAGAGAAGAGACGCCCUUUGCCGUUUUGGUGCAAGGUGACAGACGCGCGUCAGGCCUCGGGACAAGGAGCGCGCGGCGUGAUCGAGGAGAAGCGGCAAUGGGGCUAGGGUUUCUUUUGUUUUACUGAAAAAUGUCUAGGUUAUUGGGCCAUUAGGCCAUUAGGGUUUUUUUGGGCUGUUUUGGGUCUGAUAUUUUUUUCUGUAAAUGGACUGUUUUUAAUUUAGAUUUUAAAUUUUUUUAUUUUAUUUGGUUUGGUUUGGGCCCGGGCAAAAAUGGCCUAUUACAUGUUCAAUGUCAUGUUCACUUGUUAUUUUCAUAUAUUACUCACAUAAAAUCUAGUUAAUGCAUUUACGUCAAGAUUGGAGUUUCAAAAUUCAAAAAAUAUAAGAACAUAGAAUGAUCUAAUUGGAGAAUAUGGACUAAAUCUACAAUUCUACUUAACUAGUAAUUGAAUUUAAUAAAACGAAUUUAACUGCUAUUAUUUGUGUCAAGAGAAAAGAUUUAAAAUUUAAAAAAUACAGCACUAAAAUUGAUCAAAUCAAAGCAUAAAGACUAACCAAAAGUAAACUCCAAUUGAUAGAAAAAAAUUUAAAUUUAACAAAUGUCAACUAACUAUAUUAUCAAUUGGUGUUUUAUUUUUAUUUUUUCAAAUCAAAUAAGAAAAAUUAAUUUUAAUAUAUAUUUUUAAAAUAAUAUGAACACAGCAUGAAUACACGAAUGUGUCAAAAUAUACCUAAACCAAAUUAUUAUGUAAAAUUUUAUAUAAUUUCAUAAUAUAUUAUUGUACAUUAUUCAGACAAAUCAUAUAAAAUAUAUUACUUGAGAUAACUUAUAAAUUGAGGAAGAGUUGUCGAAAUUUAAUCUAAACAAACAAUAAUUAUGCCAUACAUCAUAAUAUGAAGAUCCUAGGAAUAUCUGGAACUCUCGGCUUGGUAUGGGCAAGUCAGAUGUAGAUCACGAUGGAUCCAGCUCAAUGAAACGAACCCAUGUUCCAUCACCUUAAUGCUCCCACUUGGGUUACAGGCUUGCGUUACCAAGCUCAGCAAGCAACAUAACGGGAAAGUAGAUAUAUAAAGAACUAAUACGCGUUGUUUUCUAUCUGUGUGGGAUUGGAAACAAAAACUCUUUGCUCAACCUAAGGGUGAGUAUUCGAUUGAGUGGAGUCGAAUCGAGUUAAAAAAUUUCGAGUUAAUCGAGUUGACGAAUCAUAUUUUAGCAACUGAACUCAAUUUAAAUUUUUCAUCGAAUUUUUCGAAUCAAAUCGGAUUUUUCUAACCCCUAGCUCAACCUAAACCUCUGCUUCCCUCUUGUCCCCCUCGAUAACUUCAAAGCGAAUCCCAUCUCCUUCAAUGGGUAACUUCCUUUCCUUCCUUUUGUUAAUAAAAGAUGGGCAUACAUAGAUUUAGUUGGGUCUAUGUUUCAAUUGAAAAUUCUUCCCACCAUGAUACAAAAAAUGCCGCCUGUUGUAGGAUCGAAUCUUCACAAAACCAUCCAAUAUAGCAGUUGACCUUCUCAUUACAAAUCAUUGCACUCGUAAUUUUGUAAAAACAGAUUUUGAUUCGCGUGUUUGUGUAGAUAAAUGAUUGAAUUAGUUUUGGAUGGAUUUAAAUUACAAAAUUGUUUCAAAGAGAUGAAGUCAGCGUCAAUUUACUUGGGGUGAGUUUGAACGGGCAGUGCGUUUACAAGCGGUUAGUGUAAAAACAGCGGUGGCGGUAAGAUUAAAUACUGUAGCGUGAGACAAAAAGUAAGCUAAACGCACCGCACCGCACGCAAUCGCCCAUCCAAACCCACCCUUGAUGUGUCCCAUAGCUCCUAUUCAAGUAUGAGGAUCAAAUUUUAAUAAAUUAAACUAAAAGACCUAAAUUUUCAACUUUUCAAAAGUAAAGAAAUGAAAAUCAGAAUUAUACCAACAAAUUAAUAUGUGAAGGAAGUUUGUGGGAUAAACUAGUCCCUUUUGUCCAGCAACCCAUAGAGAUUGACAUCUUUUCUUUUCUUUUCUAACUCUGUUUUUAGUCUGUAAUUUUCAGAAUUUUGAAUUUUAGUUUUUUACUUCUUUUAAAUUUCAUGAAUUUAGAUUUUUUUUAUUUGACUGGUUUUCAAAUUAAAUUUAAAUUUGAAUAUGUGGUGUUCUAAUAUUCAAAGAUAUGAAUUAAGAGUAAAGGUUAAAUUCUAUUAUUAGUUUAUGUAUUUUAUGAAAGUUGUAAGUUUAAUUUCUAUAUUUUUUUUAAUUUUAAAAUUCCAGUCUUCGAUAAAUUAUAAUUUUUAAAUUCUGUUAUUUUUUAAUAUGUGCAAUGUCAUGUUUGCUUUUUAUUUUUAUAUAUUUUUCACAAAAAAUCCAGUCAAUGCAUUAAUGACGGUCGUUUGCGUUAAGAUUGAAAUUUCACAAUUCAAAAAAUAUAGGGACGUAGAAUGAUCUAGUUGCAUAGUAUAGGUCUAGUAAUUGAAUUUAACCAAACGAAUUUAACUGUUAUUGUUUGGGCCAAGAUCACAAUUUCAAAAUUCAAAAAGUAUAAAGACUAAAAUUUAUCAAAUUAAAAUAUAAAAACUAAAUCCACAACUUUCAUAAAGUAUAAUCUCUAAUAACAAAAUUUAACCAAAAGUCAUCUAUCUAUAUUAUCAAUUGGUCUUUUAUUUUUUUUAAAUCAAAUAAGCAAAUGUACUAAAUUCUUAAAAUUAAAAAUAGAAGAAUUAAUUUAAAAAAUUUGAACAGCAUAUAAAAUAAUGGAAUUAUCAGCUUGCUCCUGGGAUUUAGAGUUUUAAUUAAAUUAUGAUUGUUGAGUGUUUUUCUCCAUUUUCUUUAAAUGGUAAGGUUAUAUAUUUAUAUGAUAUGGUUACUAUUUAUUGAUGUCAUAUUCUAUAAUAGGUUUCGUGCAUGUCAACACGUACUCUAUUUUAGACAUAACACGUGUUUAUACGAUUUCAUGCGCGAUCUCACGUGUGACCUCGCAGGGGAGUGUAAGUACCCUCCUGCGAGCACUUAAAAUCAUGCAAGCUUGAUCUACGAGUUUAACAUACAAACUGUGUAGAAUCCGAGGAUUGAUAAUAGUAAGUAUCAUAACAAGGAUAAAUGUAAUGAUUAAAACAUUUUAAGUAAAUAAAUUUAGAGAAUCGACAAAAUAUACUAUAAAUUGAGACAUAAGACUAACAUAAUUAAAACUCGAUAAUACAAAAUGAAAAAAAAAAUUGCUUUGGAUCCCAUCACAUCAAAAUUACGUGCGAUUAAUCUGAAUUAAAUUAUUCAUUGAGUAUUUGUCAUAAUUUAUUUUGAUUUAAGUAGCCAAUAUGAAUGGUGUUAACUUCAAAAUAAAAAUAAAUAUAAAUAUUAACGCAUAAAAAUUAUAAAUUUAUUAAAUUUAAAACAGCAAAAAGGUAAAAAUAUCAACAUAAUGCAAAUGCAUAAAUAUGAUGAAAUUGAAUUUAAUGUAACAAACAAAGCAAAAGCUAGAAUGGCCUAAUUUUUGCUUAACUUUUAUGCCUCUCUACCCUCUUGACAAGCUUUAUUGGCAAGUAAGGUUUCUGUGAGCUAUUUUGGCUAUUUCAUCUUUGACUUCUACCCAAUCCUUUGAAUUGAUUUAGGGGUUUUUUACUCUCGUAUGAAGCCCUUCCAUUACUUAGCUUGGAUUCUGGGAAUUCUUAAUCUAGGUAUAAGUGAAUUUGGAUAGUUGUUCUAAGGAAAAGAAAUAAAAAUUGAUUUGGUGCCAAUCAUACUUAUGAAAUUUGACUUGUGAUUUGUGUAUACAUGAAAUUUUGAUUUUGAUUUAAUUAUACACAUUUAAAUAAAUGAAUUAAUAUAUUUAUUUUCAUAUUGGGUUAAUAUAAUUGUUUGUGUAUGCUAUCAACUUACAAUUGUGUUAAUUUGAUAAUGUUGUAAGUGAUUUUUGAAAAUUGAAUCAAAUCAAAAUUUUAUGUGUAUACAAAAUUAAAGCUCAUAUAUGACAUUGCAGAUGAAGUCGAAGUUUAUGUAUAAUUUUAAUAUUUAUCUUAAAAAUAUCUUGAAUUUUAUAUAAUUUAAAAAUAUCUUGAAUGCUUGAACAUUAUUCAAACAUAUAUAAAAUAUCUCGAGUUAUAGCUUCUAAAUAAAGGAAGAAUUGUCAAAAUUUAAUCUAAACAAACAAUAACUCUAAAUAAUUAUGCCAUACGGGAAGAUUUGAAUCUUCUCAAUUAAACUUAAAAUUUUGGACUAGCACAUUGCUAAUUUAGUAUAUACCACAUGAAAUAUGAGGAAAAAAAAAAGUGAUGGUUCAUUUAGAGGUCAACUCACCGAGCUAUGAUGGAUCCAAGUGGAACCGACUUGUCAUCCUUCCACUGCCGAAAGCGGGAGAUAAUCGCUGCUCUGUGAAACCAGCCUCACGCAGUACUCUCCACUCUAAGAACCACGAGAACCGGAGCUUUCGCUCAAUCCCCUCGGCCCAACUUUCGGUUUGGUAUGGGCAAGUCAGAUGUAGACCACAAUGGAUCUAGCUCAAUAUAAAACGAACCCAUGUCCCAGCUCCUUAAUGCUCCUACUUAGGUUACAGGCUUGCGUUACCAAGCUCAGC
rnacentral:lncRNA from 1 species